GGCUCAAUGGUCUAGGGGUAUGAUUCUCUUCUCGCUUUGGGUGCGAGAGGUCCCGGGUUCAAAUCCCGGUUGAGCCC